rnacentral:rRNA from 1 species
GCACCCGCGGUAAUUCCAGCACCAAUAGCGUAUAUUAAUGCUGCUGCUGUUAAAAAGCUCGUAGUUGGAUCAAGAGUUGGACAGUGCACGGUGGCCCUGUUUGUUCGUCUGGCUCCGGUCAGGCGGGCGGCAGCGGAACAACCCCGUGCGCCAAACUGUCAACUCUAACAGACCGAAGCGGUUCCCUGUGAGUAGGCUCCUUAAUUGGGGCUGAAAGCGCCAACGCAUAAACCAUAUGCAUACGGGACGUCGGUCAAAGUUACUGUGAACAAACCAGCGUGUCCAAAGCAGGCUUUCGCCUGAAUGUUCGAGCAUGGAAUAACAAGGGAUCGAUUCCCUCGGUUCUUUUUGUUGGUUUUUAACCCGAGAAGGAGAAAUUCAGGCCACGGUGUCUGAGUUGGGUUUCCCUGGGCUUCGGCUCAGGCCCCAAUUAGGCCGUGUCCUUACGGGAUCAAUAGGGACUGACGGGGUCGUACCUACUUCCGCGUCAGAGGUGAAAUUCUUAGAUCGCGGGAAGAGGAACUUCUGCGAAAGCAUUCGACAAGAAUGUCUUCAUUAAUCAAGAACGAGAGUGUGGGGAUCGAAGAUGAUCAGAUACCGUCGUAGUCCACUACUGUAAACAAUGCCGUCUCAGGAUUGAGAAGUGAACAGAAUGACUUUCACAGCACUAACCCCUGAAACGAGAAAUCAAAGAUUAUGGGUUCAGGGGGGAGUACAUUCGCAAGGCUGAAACUUAAAGGAAUUGACGGAAUGACACCACAAGGCGUGGAGUAUGCGGCUUAAUUUGACUCAACACGGGGAAUUUUACUAGGUCAGGACAAUGUAAGGAUUGACAGAUUGAGAGCUCUUUCUCGAUCCAUUGUGUGGUGGUGCAUGGCCGCUCCUGGUUGGUGGAGUGAUUUGUCUGGUUGAUUCCGUUAACGAACGAGAUCUCGACCCUUAAAUAGGUGCGCAUGUCGAUUGUAGCUUCAUCUCCGCCGGCUUGCUGGAUUGGAGUGGGGCGAGACUGUGCGAAUACUUCUUAAGGGGACUGUGUGCGUCUCUAGCACGCGGAAGAGCGAGCCAAUAGCAGGUCUGUGAUGCUCCUAAAUGUCCUAGGCUGCACGCGCACUACACUGAUGCAAUAAACGAGUCUGAGUGCCUUCUGGCAACCUACCUGGAAGCGGGUGGGAAAUCUUUUGAACUUGCAUCGUGAUGAG